rnacentral:rRNA from 1 species
GGCUCAGAGUGAACGCUAGCGGCGUGGUUAAGACAUGCAAGUCGAACGAUGAAGCCCAGCUUGCUGGGCGGAUUAGUGGCAUACGGGUGCGUAACACGUGAGCAACCUGCCUUGAAGUGGGGAAUAGCCCGGGGAAACCCGGAUUAAUACCGCAUGUGGUCUCUUUUCGCAUGAAAAGACGACUAAAGUUUGUAAUGACUCUUCAAGAGGGGCUCGCGGCCUAUCAGCUUGUUGGUGAGGUAAAGGCUCACCAAGGCAAAGACGGGUAGCUGGUCUGAGAGGAUGAUCAGCCACACUGGAACUGAGAUACGGUCCAGACACCUACGGGUGGCAGCAGUUUCGAAUCAUUCACAAUGGGGGAAACCCUGAUGGUGCAACGCCGCGUGGAGGAUGACGGCCUUCGGGUUGUAAACUCCUGUCACCAAGGAACAAACGGCAGGUUCAUAGCCUGUCCUGAGUUAACUUGGAGAGGAAGAGGUGGCUAACUCCGUGCCAGCAGCCGCGGUAAUACGGAGACCUCGAGCGUUACUCGGAUUCACUGGGCGUAAAGAGUAUGUAGGCGGCUUGGUAUGUCAGGUGUGAAAGCCCGAAGCUCAACUUCGGAAUUGCGCCUGAAACUACCGGACUUGAGGCCUGGAGAGGGGAGUGGAAUUCCUGGUGUAGCGGUGACAUGCGUAGAUUUCAGGAGGAACACCAAUGGCGAAGGCAGCUCCCUGGACAGGUUCUGAC